GAUGAAGAACGUAGCGAAAUGCGAUAAGUAAUGUGAUUUGCAGAAUUCAGUGAAUCAUCGAAUCUUUGAACGCACAUUGCGCCCCUUGGUAUUCCGAGGGGCAUGCCUGUUCGAGCGUCAUUAUAACCCCUCAAGCUCAGCUUGGUAUUGGGGCCUGCCAUCCUGGCAGCCCUUAAAAUCAGUGGCGGUGCCAUCCGGCUCUAAGCGUAGUAACUCUUCUCGCUAUGGAGUCCUGGUGGAUGCUUGCCAUUAAUCUUUUAACUUCUAUGGUUGACCUCGGAUCAGGUAGGGAUACCCGCUGAACUUAAGCAUAUCAAUAAGCGGAGGA
rnacentral:misc_RNA from 1 species